GAUGAACGCUGGCGGCGUGCCUAAUACAUGCAGGUCGAGCGAACAGACGAGGAGCUUGCUCCUCUGACGUUAGCGGCGGACGGGUGAGUAACACGUGGAUAACCUACCUAUAAGACUGGGAUAACUUCGGGAAACCGGAGCUAAUACCGGAUAAUAUAUUGAACCGCAUGGUUCAAUAGUGAAAGACGGUUUUGCUGUCACUUAUAGAUGGAUCCGCGCCGCAUUAGCUAGUUGGUAAGGUAACGGCUUACCAAGGCAACGAUGCGUAGCCGACCUGAGAGGGUGAUCGGCCACACUGGAACUGAGACACGGUCCAGACUCCUACGGGAGGCAGCAGUAGGGAAUCUUCCGCAAUGGGCGAAAGCCUGACGGAGCAACGCCGCGUGAGUGGUGAAGGUCUUCGGAUCGUAAAACUCUGUUAUUAGGGAAGAACAGAUGUGUAAGUAACUAUGCACGUCUUGACGGUACCUAAUCAGAAAGCCACGGCUAACUACGUG
rnacentral:rRNA from 1 species